CUGGGCUCAUAAGAUCAUUAUCCAUCUACAACAUCAAAUUGGGGUUUUCUCUCAAAGAUAAUCCCCAAGAAGAAGAAACCCUAGGUGUUUAAUUUCAAGUCAAGAAUUCAAGUUUUUCUCCAUCAAUCUUUAAGAAAUCAUCCAUCCAGGUAUGUAACGUGUUAAUUCAUGAGUCCCUUUCACCCAUGAAGCUCAAGACUCUCUUUUUAAAAUCCAAGAUUUGUUUAUUUAUGAAUGUUCAUGAUUUAAAUUGUAUUGAAAUUCAUAUUCAUGAUAUUCUGGGGUUUUGAUUCAUGUUUGAAAUUACAUAUUCUAAUGAUUAACCCUAGGAUAUGGUGAUUUUUUUAAUAAUCAUGAUAAACCCUUAAAUUUACACAUUGAUUGAUGUAUCUAUGAUUAUUAGAUUUUUUGAUGAUUGUAUAACCAAAGCAUGCUCCUCCAUGUGUUCGAUUAAAUGCCUAUGUGAAGGAAAAGUGCCAUACUAGUAUAAUAAUAUGAAAUCCCCAUUGAUGUACAAGUUCAUGCAUGUCAAGGGUUUGAUGAAAUGUCUUAGUCAAUGAGUAAUGGAUAUAUGUGUGGCUAUUGUGGUGCUUUAGAACUUUUACAUGAUGAAUUCUCCAACUUAUUAUAUUAUGGAUUGUUGAUGUGGUCAUGUAUUCAAGAAAGUAAUGCUUUGUCAGUUUCUUUCCAUCGACUCCUGGGGGUACUUGUACCCAAAAAUUUAGCUUUGUGCCUAGAAUCAGUGUCAUGUUUUCAAGAUGCUCUCAGUCAAGCCAUGAUACAUAGACUUCAGUCAGUCUCAUGACUCAAGAAAACUCAAUAAUCUCAGUAGUAUUCCGUUAGUCAACAGAACUCAGUUAACUCACUCCAGUAAGUUUAGUUAAUCAUGUUCAGUGUCUAUCCAGAUGGGAGUAGAAAUUAUCACCGAGCGAACCCAAGGAUGGGAACCCACCUGUUAUAUGAAGGUGUAAUUCUUAGACAUAAUCCUUGCAUUCCAGAACUACAUAGCAAACGUAAGUUGAGACAUCAUAGCCUAUUAUAUGAGGGUAGAUGAGGUGGCUUAACCUGUUAUAUGUGGGUUCCCACUAUUCUCACCAAAGUCACCUGUUACAUAAGGUUUACUCAGAAAUUGUCCUUACUAGUGGCGUGGUAUUGAUAGAUUGGACCACAACUCAGCUAUAUUGCGUUAUUUGGGGUAUGUUGGUUAGAUGACUAUUCCCACAAUUUCAGUUACAAAAUCAAGAAUGUCAGAUACAGUCAUUCAGUCUCAGUAAUAGAACUCAGAUAGUUCUACAGAAUUUAGGACUGCCAGAUAUAGUCAACUCAGAACAACACAAAACUCAUUUAGUUCCAUCAGAACCUAGGCUUUCAGAUUCAGCCACUCCAAAUUUGUUAUUUCAGCUAUUUAGUAACCAUUAUCUCAUGUUAUCAGUAUUCUGGUUUAGUAAUCAUGUUAUCAUUGAACACAAUUAUAGUUAUUAUGUAUUCAUGCAUACAUUCUGACGUUCAUGUUAUCCAUUCAGUUAGUAUAGUUCAUGCAUGUGAACCUUUUGCAUUCAGCCUACCUCACAUGCAUACCAGUAUAUUCAAACAUACUGACGUAUUUGUGCUAUGGUGUUUUAUACUAUAGGGUCAGAAGCACGAGCCCCAGAGCAUUAGUAGCAUUCCAGUCUCAACAGUUAGAGUUAGCAGUGAUUCCUCAUCCUUCGAGGACAUGAACAUUACCUUAUUAUCUCAUUAAUUAAUUUAUUUUAGUAGUUGGAGUUAGUUUGGGACAUGUCCUAUCAACUCCUUAUUCAGAUAGUUUAGAGGCUUUCAAAUUAGCAUGUUCAAUUAGUUAUUUCAUUUAUUUUGGUAUUGAUAUACUAAAUCUUCAAAUGUUAUGUUUUAUUAGAUCUUUGAACCUUAUGGAUUUUCAUUCUUUCUUUUCGUAUUUAUAUAGUAUAUUAUGCAGUGUAUAGGUACAAAUAUUACUUAUGGGUUAGCUUAUGGUCCUUUGGGGUCAUGAGCCCCGUGUGGUAUUCUGGGUACUAAUUUAGGGCGUUACAAACUUGGUAUCAGAGACUAAGGUUCAAUAGAGUCCUAGGAAGUCUAAAAGCCGCAUCUAGUAGAGUCUUGUACAUGGGUGUGUUGCACGCCAUAUUUAUGUACAAGAGGCUAUAAGAUGUUUUAGAAAUAGUUUCCCUUCUUUUAGUAUUCAUGUCCUGCCAGUGAGUAUAAUCUCAAGAUAAUCUCUCAAUCUAAUCUAUUUUUCCCUUUCUUCUAUAGAUAAUGCCUCCUAAAAUAAGAAAUAGGAAUCAGUCAGCCCCUCAGCUCGAAGAUCCAUUAGGUGAACAUAUUUCUCAUGUAGAGUUCAGAGUUGCAUUCACUACUUUUUCUCAGUUAGUUGCUGCUUAGAAUGAAUGACCAGCUAUCAUUCCAGCCAAACCAGUGGCCAAUUCCGUUGUAACCAAGAUUUGAGACUUCACCUAAAUGAAUCCUCAAUCCUUUUUUGCGUCUAAAUCAGAUGAGGACCCUCAAGAAUUUUCUUGAUCAUGUUUAUAAGGUUAUGUAUAUCAUGGGGGUUACUUCUAGUGAGAGUACAGAGUUAGCUGCAUAUCUGUUGUAGGAUAUUUCUCAUACUUCGUACAAAUAUUGAAAGUCAGAAAGGGCUAUAGAUGCAGGGCCUAUUGAGUAAGAGGAGUUUUCUACUACAUUCUUAGAUAGAUUCUUUUCCCUAAAUUUGAGAGAAGCUAAACUGUUAGAAUUUAUCAACCUCAGGAAAGGCAAAAUAACGGUGAAAGAGUAUUCUCGUAAGUUUACUAAAUUAUCCAGAUAUGCUCCAAAUGUGGUUCUAGAUAGCAGGGAUAAGAUAAGUAAGUUUGUUUCUGGGGUAAAUGAUAGUGUAGUUAAUAAGUAUAGGUCCGCGAUGUUGAAUAGUGACAUAAACAUAGCAAGGCUUAUGACCCAUGCUCAUCAGAUAAAAGAGAAAAAGAUUAAGAUGAGGGUGAAGCAGAAUAAUAAGGAAAAGACAGGUAGUUUCAACUUUGCUCAGCCCAAAUCAGAAAGAGGAAACCGUUAUCAAUUUCGUCCUAAGUCACCAGUUCCAGCUCUUUCUUUAGCUAGUGAUCCAUCUCCUAGAUUCAGAGAUGGAAACAAAGAUAGAGUGUCAGGCUCUAACUCUCAGGGCAUUGUUAGCAGUACCCGCACCUAUUCUCUUUACCAAACUUUUGGCAAGCACCAUCAGGUUAAUUGCAGAGCUGGUAGUGGUAUUUGUUUUGGAUGUAGAAAGCCAGGUCACAAAGUCAGAGACUGUCCUUAGCCAGGUACUCAGGGGCAGCAGAACUGUUCCUCAGCUCAGUCUAGUCACCCAAACCAGCAGGGUGCCACCUCCAGUGCUACUAGUGGGCAAUGCCCAAAUUGACUUUAUGCUCUCCAGUCCCGACAAGAUCAAGAAUAUUCUCCUGAUGUGGUUACUGGUACGUUAUAUAUCUUUUAUAUGCAUGUUUACGCUCUGCUAGAUCUAGGAUCUUUUUUAUCUUUUUUAGUCCCUAUAUAGCAGUCCCAAAAUUCUAGCAUAACCCUUUUUAGUAUCUACCAUAGUGGAAAAAACUAUCAUAGACCGAUAGGUAUACAGGAACUAUCCGAUUAUGAUAUUUCAGAAAGUCACCUUAGCUGAUUUAGUCGAAUUAGAGAUGACUGAUUUUGAUGUCAUUCUCGACAUGGAUUGGCUUCAUUACUGCUAUUCCACAGUCGAUUGCAAAAAUAAAAUAGUCUACUUUUAGUUUCUAAUUGAACCUGUCUAUGAGUGGAGGGGUAACAUUCGUCUUUUAAAGGUCAACUUGUUUCCUACCAUUGGGGAAAAUGAUAUAUAAAGAAUGUGUCUAUCAUCUUGUUUAAGUUAAGGACACUAGUUUUGAAACUCUCAGUCUUGAAUCAGUCCCAGUCGUGAAUGAAUAUUUAAAUGUCCUUCCCAAAGAUCAUUCAGGAAUUCCUCCUAAAAGGGAAAUAAACUUCAGCAUUGAUCUUCUUCCACAUACUCAACCUAUGUCUAUUUCUCCAUACAUAAUGUCACCAGCCGAACUCAUAGAAUUGAAGGAGCACUUAAAAGAUCUCUUAGAUAAGGGAUUCAUCAGGCCCAAUGUGUCCCCAUAGGGCGCACCAAUAUUAUUUAUGCACAAGAAUGAUAGUUCUCUCAGAAUGUGUAUAGACUGCCGUCAGCUCAACAAAGUCAUAGUCAAGAACAAGUAUCCACUUCCCAGAAUCGAUAACUUAUUUGACCAACUGUAGGGUGCCAGUUAUUUCUCUAAGUAGACCUUAGAUCAGACUAUCAUCAGCUCAGAGUUAGAGAAUGUGACAUUUCAAAAAUAGCCUUUCAUAAUCGGUAUGGUCACUUUGAAUUCUUAGUUAUGUCCUUUGUCCUUACCACUUCCCUAACAUUUUCAUGGACUUGAUGAACCAUGUGUUCAAGCAGUACUUGGACAUGUUCAUCAUAUUCUUCAUAGAUGAUAUUCUGGUCUAUUCCCACAGUGAGCGUGAUCAUGCAGACCAACUCAUAAUUGUACUUCAGACUCUCAGAGAUCAUUAACUAUUCACCAAAUGUAGUAAGUGAAAAUUUUGACUAAGGUCAGUAGCAUUUCUUGGUGAUAUCAUUUUCGGUGGUGGCAUUAGAGUUGAUCCUUAAAAGACUGGAGAAGUAAGAAAUUGUCUUCACCCUAUAUCUCCAUCAGAUAUCAGGAGUUUCUUGUGUUUGCCUGGCUAUUACAGAUGGUUUGUUGAGGGAUUUUCUUGUAUUGAAUCCUCUAUGUACAGAUUGACUUAGAACAAAUCAAGUUUCAGUGGUCAGAUCCUUAUGAGAAGAGUUUUUAGGAGUUGAAUACUCGACUCACCUCAACUCCAGUCUUAGCUCUUCAGGAUGGUCCAGAUAGGUUUUUAGUGCAUUGUGAUGAAUCCAGAGUAGGUUUGGGUUAUGUCCUCAUGCAGCAUGGAAAGUUCAUAGCCUAUGCCUUCAGGAAACUUAAGCCCCAUGAAAAGAAUUACCCUACUCAUGAUCUUGAGUUAAUAGCCGUAGUUUUUGCCUUAAAGAUUUGGAGGCAUUAUCUAUAUGGUGUUCAUGUAGAUGUGUUCACAGAUCAUAAGAUCCUUCAUAAUGUCUUUCCUCAAAAAGAUCUCAAUCAUCAUCUGAGAAGGUGGUUUGAUCUUAUGAAAGAUUAUGAUAUGAGUGUCCUUUAUCAUCCGGGCAAGGCCAAUGUUAUGGCCAAUGCUCUCAAUAGACUAUCUAUGUGUAGUGUUGUUCAUGUUGAGGAAAUUAAGAAAAAGUUAGCUUAGGAAAUCCAUCAGGUUACCAAACUAGGAGUUCGCUUAGUAGAUACAGAGGAGGGUAACAUAUGGGUUCAGGGUAAUUCAAAAUCAUCUCUAGUUUUCAAGGUGAAAAAAAGAAAGAUAGAGAUCCCAGUCUAGUCAAGUUUAAACAAUCAGUCAAGGAUCAGAAAUUAGAGGUUUUCUCUUAAGGGGGAGAUGGUGUUCUGCAUUAUUAGGGUCGUCUGUGUGUUCCAGGUGUAGAUGACUUGAGGUAGCAAAUUCUUGCAGAAGCGUAUGGUGCGCGCUACUCUAUUCAUCCAGGGGCCACUAAGAUGUACCACGACUAGAGGAAAAUCUAUUGGUGGAGUGGGAUAAAGAGAGAUAUUGUAGAGUUUGUGGCUAAAUGCUCUAUAUGUCAGCAGGUUAAGUUAGAGCAUUAGAAGCCUAGUGGGUCCAUGCAGAUGUUCUGUAUUCCUACUUGGAAGUAGGAAGAAGUAAACAUGGACUUUGUGACAGGUUUUCCUCAUACUCGUUGCCAGCAUGAUUCAGUUUGGGUUAUUGUGGAUAGGAUGACCAAAUCAGCUCAUUUCCUUUCAGCCCAUACCUCUAAUUCAGCCGAGAAUUAUGACAAACUCAAUGUCAGAGAGUUGGUUAGAUUGCACGGUAUUUUGUUAUCUAUUAUCUCAGAUAGAGGUACCUAGUUCACCUCUCAUUUCUGGAAAGCAUUCCAAAAGGGUCUUGGUAUCCAUGUUAAUCUCAGUACAACCUUUCAUCCUCAGACAGAUGGUCAAGCAGAAAGGACCAUUCAGACUUUAGAAGAUAUUAUAAGGGCGUGUGCAAUCGAUUUCAAGGUUAGUUGGGAUGACCACUUGGCUUUGAUUGGGUUUGCAUACAACAACAGGUAUCAUUCCAGUAUUCGGAUGGCUUUAUUUUAAGCUCUCUAUAGUAGGAGGUGCAGAUCUCUAAUCGGUUGGUUCGAUGUUAGAGAGGCCUCAUUCAUAGGGCCUGACUUAGUAUUUGAUGCCUUAGAAAAUGUCCAAUUGAUUAGAGAAAGACUCCGAGCUGCUCAGCGCCGAUAGAAGUCUAAUGCAGAUGUGUGCAGAAAGGAUCUAGAGUUCGAGAAUUAUGAUUAUGUCUAUCUAAAGAUCUCACUCAUGAAGCGAGUGAAGAUAUUUAUUAAGAAGGGAAAGCUCAGUCCUCAAUAUAUCGAUUAAAAUUCUCAGUCGUUUUAGCAAGGUAGCCUAUGAGCCUAAAUUGCCUUCAGAUAUAGCCUCAGUUCAUCCAGCCUUCCAUGUCUCUUUGCUCAAGAACUACAUAGGUGACAUAGUAGUCAUAGUCCCUAUUCAGAGCAUAAAUUUUCAAAAUAGCCUCUCUUAUAAAGAGAUUCCAGUCGAAAUCCUAGACUAUCAGACUCGUAGACUGAGGAACAAAGAAGUCCCUCUAGUCAAUGUUUUUUGGCAGAAUCAGUUUGUUGAGGGAGCUACUUGGGAAGUAGAAGCAGACAUGCAGACAAAGUAUCCUCACCUCUUCUCCACAAACUUAGAUCUAGCUCAUGGUAAUAGUUCACCUUAAGCUUUUUAGUUUUAUGUUCAGAUUUCAGUGACAAGCUUGGUAUCCAUUUCAUGUUAAGAAUUUCAUUAUGAACUUGGUAUUAAGUACCAUUGAAUAGUCAGUCAUGCAUUCAUGUAUCAGUUCAGUUAUAUAAUAAUGCAUUAGACGUGCAUUCUCAUUAUGAGAAUCUUGGUUCAUUAGAACACUCAGUCAUGUAUUCAUAAAUCAGUUACACAUGCAUCAGAUAUGCAUGAAAUGGGAUCAAGUUCCAGUUAUUCAUGUUCAGUAUGUACGUCUGUAUAUCUUCUCCCCUAUCACUCAGUCUUAUUUGAGGAUAAAUGUUCUCAAGGGGGAGAUAUUAAAAUACCCCGUACUUCUACCUAGCUUGAAAUUGUCCCAAGUAUGUUAGAAACUUGCUUUGAAAGAUGAAUCCAGUUUUAUAUAUGUCGAAUUUUUUUUAAUAUUUUCACUUUUUGUCAUGUGGGAAAUUGAAUUAGCUUUCCAAUGAUACCUAUUUUGUCCAAAUCUAGUAUCAGGGUAGAAAGUUAUGACCGUUUUAUAGAAAGCAGUCAAAACCGUCUAGGUGCGACGGUGAGGGUCGACAGACCAUCAAGCUAGUGACAAACCGUCGCCCAAGCUAUUUCAGCGGAGGAAGUGAGAUCACCUUCUACCUAAGGGAGACGACUCUGGCUGAUAGACCAUCUAGCUGGCGAUAAACCAUUGCCCAAGCCGUUGCAGGAGAGGCAGUGAACCCCUAUUCUACCCAGGUACGACGGUCAGGACUGAAGGAGGAUCGAUCCAGUGAUGAACCUUCUCACCCACCUUUUCAUAGUUUGUUUAGUUAUUUUAAAGUCAUUUUUGAAAGGGUAUUUGGGUCUUUUCCACCCGUUUUAACCACUAAUUAUAUUAGAUCAAGGCUCAUAAGUUCAUUAUCCAUCUAUAACAUCAAAUUAGGAUUUUUUAUCAAAGAUAAUGAACAAGAAACCCUAGGUGUUUAAUCCCAAGUCAAGAAUUUAAGUUUUCCUCCAUCAAUAUUUAAGAAAUCAUCCACCCAGGUAUGUCAUGUGUUGAUUCAUGGGUCCCUUUCACCCAUGAAGCUCAAGAAUCUCUUUUUAAAAUCAAAGAUUGGUGUAUUUAUGAUUGUUCAUGAUUCAAAUUGAAUUGAAAUUUAUGUUCAUGAUGUUUUGGGGUUUUGACUCAUGUUUGAAAUUACAUAUUCCAAUGAUUGACCCUAGGAUAUGGUGAUUUGUAUAAUAAUCAUAAUAAACCCUUAAAUUUACACGUUGAUUGAUGUAUCCGUGAUUAUUAGAUGUGUUGAUGGUUUUAUAAGCAAAGCAUGCUCCCCAUGUGUUCGAUUAAAUGUCUAUGUGAAGGAAAAAUGCCAUACUAGUAUAAUAAUAUGAAAUCCCCAUUCAUGUACAAGUUCAUGCAUGUCAAGUGUUUGAUGAAAUGUCUUAGUCAAUGAGUUAUGGAUAUAUGUGUGGACAUUAUGGUGCUUUAGAGCUUGUACUUCAUGAAUUCUCCAACUGAUUAUAUUAUGGAUUGUUGAUGUGGUCAUGUAUUCAAGAAAGUCAUGCUUUUUAAGUUUUAUCCCAUUGAGUCCUAAGGGUACUUGUACGCGAAAAUUUAGCUGUGAGCCUAGAGUUAGUGUUAUGUUUUCAAGAUACUCUCAGUCAAGCCAUGAUCCAUAGAAUUCAGUCAGUCUUAUGACUCAGGAAAAAUCAGUAAUCUCAGUAGUAUUCUAUGAGUCGAUAGAACUCAGUUAACUCAGUCUAGUCAUUUCAGUUAAUCAUGUUCAGUGUCUAUCCAGAUGGGAGUAGAAAUCAGCACUGAGUAAACCCAAGGAUGGGAACCCAACUGUUAUAUGAGGGUAUGAUUCGUAGAAGCGAUCCUUGCGUUCCAGAACUACGUAGACAACGUAGGUUGAGACAUCAUAUCCUAUUAUAUAAGGGUAGAUGAGGUGGAUUAACCUGUUAUGUGAGGGUUACACCAUUUUUAGUAGAGUCACCUGUUAUGUGAGGGUUACUCACAGAUUGUUCUUACCAGUGGUGCAAUAUUGACACCCUUCCGAGGUUAAAAAUUGGACCCCAACUUAGCUAUAUUGCAUUAUUUGGGGCAUGUCAGUUAGAUGACUACCUCCUACAGUUUUAGUUACAAAAUUAGGACUAUCAGAUAUAGUAAUUCAGUCUUAGUAAUAGAACUCAGAUAGUUCUACAAAAUUUAGGAUUGUCAGAUAAAGUCAACUCAGAAUAGCACGAAACUCAUAUAGUUUCAUCAAAACCUAGGCUGUUAGAUACAGUCGCUCUAUAUUAGUUAUUUUAUUUAUACAAUUAUGAAUAUCUCAUGUUAUCUGUACUCAGGCUCAGUAAUCAUGUUAUUGUCGAACUCAGUUACAAUUAUUAUGUAUUCAUGAAUGCAUUAACACGUUCAUGUUAUUCGGUCAGUUAGUAUAGUUUAUGUAUGUGAACCUUUUGCAUUUAGCCUACCUCACAUGCAUACCAGUAUAUUCAAACAUUAUGAUGCAUUUACGCUAUGAUGUUUUAUGCCAUAUGAUCAGAAGCACGAGCUCCAGAGCAUCAGUAGCAUUCCAGUCUCAAAAGUUAGAGUUAGCAGUGAGUCCUUAUCCUUCGAGGACAUGGCCAUUAAUUUAUUAUCUCAUUAAUUAAUUUAUUUCAGCAGUUGGAGUUAGUUGGGGACAAGUCCCACCUACUCCUUAUUCAGACAGUUUAGAGGCUUUCAGACUAGCAUGUUUAGACAGUUAUUGAUAUACCAUAUAUUCAGAUGUUAUGUUUUAUUAGAUAUUUUUACCUUAUGGACUUUCCCUUUAUUUCAAUAUUUAUACAGUAUAUUAUGCAGUGUAUAGGUAUAGAUAUCAGUCAUGGGUUAGCUUAUAGUCCUUCAGGAUCAUGAGCACCGUCUGGUAUUCUGGGUACCAGAUUCGGGGCUAUUCUUGCCUAUUUUUGGCUACAAGAGCACUAGCUAAAGAAGGUGCAGGCAUGAUAAAUGAUUCUGAACCUGCGAACGAUUUCCUCCUCCAGAUCUAUUCUGACCACGAUCAAACUGUCCUGUUCUAACCCUCUUAUUUACUCUCUCUCUCCUUUAUCUUUUCUACCUUAAUCUACUGAGCAUGAAUCAUUAAUCUAGAAAGGUCCAUGUCUCUAUUGAGCAUAGCAGUCCUAUACUCCUUAACUACUACUAUCCCAGACACACUGGCCACAAACUUACUCAUGCUUAACCUAGGGUCAGUCAUCUGUUUAGGGGCUUACUUAGACAACUGGUUGAACUUGAGACAAUAUUCUUUUACUAUUUGACAGCCCUACCUCAGGUUUAUGAACUCUUCUAUCUUAGCUUCCCUUAUCUUAAGUGGGAAGAACUUAUCUAAGAAUGAAUCUUAAAAUAUCUUCCAAGUCAUGGGGGGCUGCAUUCUCCCCUCUACUUUUCUUCCACAUCACUAGUCAAUCAAUAGAAACGUCCUUCAGACUAUUGGGUUCCAAUUAUACACUCUCUUCCCUAGAAACAUACAUAAUUUGGGUUAUCUUGUUUACCUCAUUAAGAUAAAGUUGUGGGUCCUCACCUGCCUUUGAACCAAAGAUUCUGGCGGGUUCAUUCUCAUGAAAUCUCGAAUUCUGGAUGUGGCAAACUCCCUAUCCUACUGAGGUGGUACUACAACCUAACGGUUUCCCAGAAUAUUAGUUGUCACAGCUUGGGCUAGUGCCUAAAAGGAAGCUCGAAACUCUGCAUGCGACACAUUCUCAUUCAAAGGAUCUGCGGGCUGAGGUGCUGGUUUUCAUUUCUACGGGCAUUAGCUUUGCGAGUAGGAAUUUUCUGUCAUGUGAAAGAAUGAGUUACAAGCAAAUAGAGAUAAUGAAUGCACGAUAGAUUAUGAAAGAAGAGAUGAUUCCCUAAAAUGCUCCAUAGCCUUUUGCUCAUAGAUGUGGUACAAUUUACACCGAUGAUCAAGACUCUGUAUAACACAACUUGUCUGACUCCGUAGGACUCUCUAAAUCUUAUUCUCUUAUAAAAGGUUUGUAACACCUCAAAAUCUGGUUUCUGGGAUGCCACACGAUGCUCCAAACUACAAGUAGUCCUGAUCUAACCCUUGCUACCUUUUCUAGAUCUGAAUCUCAAAAUAGGGAAAAUAUAGAUGAAUAAUCAUAAUAUAUGUGAAAAACUAUCUGAAUCUUCUGAGUAUAUUUGAAUGAUACUAAAUCUCAAAAGUCUAAUAAUACAAAUGUUCAAAAUCUAAAUACUAACUCAAAGGUCUAAAUAUGAAUCUAAUAGUCCAAUAAGCCUCUACUAAUAGGCCCUAGUUGACUAGAAUUUUUGAAAUGAGUAAAGACAUAUGUACUAGUAACUUGGAAAUCAAAAUAAGUAAGUCCUCGAACUAUGAGGACUCACCAACUGUAGGGAUAUAGAUAAGAUGCUCGAAGAUUAAUCACGCUGCUGAGACUGAGCACCUGAACCUACAUUAUGAGACAAUGUAACACAUAGACAUAUAUGUAGAUCAGUACUUUGAUGAUGUACUGAGUAUAUGGGGGUGUAUGCAAUAAGUAAAUAAUAUCAUCACAGUUUAUAAAAUCAUGCAUGUUAAAUGUAAAUGACUCACGUAAGCUUGAGUUAUCUGAAAUCUAAAAGUAAAGCAUGAAUAAUAAAACCUGUAAUCUAAAUCUUGUGAUUCAUCACACCUAGUUUGGAAAUCUGUAGUUCUGUUCUAUUUCACAAAUCACAUAGGCUAAGUGAAGUCUAAAAACUUAUUCUAUGUAUCUAAAGGCUUCAAAUAAAAAAAAACUAUUUAAGAGUUGAGGACAUCUUUUGGAAAGUUUUUUUAACUGACAUGUACACCAUAUUAGCAUCCACAGUUUCCCACGACUAGCCCCCGUAAGGUUAGAGUUGUUCUACCCUUUCCAUCAAAAUAGAACAAUCUAAUUUGUCUGAUCACAAUCUGAGUCAUCCACGUAGAAGUGGAAAUAAUCUAAUAAUAUUUACCUAUGGUGGUACGUAGUUCUGGAGUAUAAAACCAUAGUAACUUACCCAUCCCGGUGCUAAAUACUACUCCAUAUCUCAUGGUCAAAAUCUUAAAAAAUCUGCUUUAAAAUUUACACAAAGGUUUACAGAAAACCAAUUAUGUUUUACUUUUCUUUAAAUCUCAAAUCUUCUGAAAUAAAGUGGAUUCUUUAUCUAAAAUCUGAAAAUAAUCUAGUCAUCGGGUACUUAUAGCAUAAAUAAUCAUGAAACAACAACCUUUAAAUGAGGUCCAGUGACCCAAGCAUCAAUCUCAUGUUAAAACAUCUCAAAAUUCAUACUUGGUAAUAUAAACAUUCACAAAUCAUCUUAAAAUAGGGAAAGUACUGCACAAGGUAUAGAAAUAUGAAUAAAGUCAUGUAAUUCAACUUCUAAAUCAUGAGAAAUCUCAAGAUCUUGCAAAUAAUGAUAAUGGGUAUAAACCCUAACUUGAAUCUCAUGGAAAAUCAUAUAAAUUGCAGUAAAUUUGUAUUUAAAAUAAAGUUUUGGGCAGAAGGAUGAAAGAUUUACCUUUAUUUAAAUCCCACAUACCUUAAUUUGAUGAUCUAGAUGCUAGAACUUGAAUCUUGGAUCUCUAUUGAUGUUUUGGAGGUGGCUUCUUGGAGUUCUUGAAUUGCGGGUUCUCAAUCUUGAAUUGUCUUGGAGGAUUAAUGGAGGAAUUCGUAGUUUCUUAUAGAGGGAGUAUGAUGAACUGGGGUUUUGCUUUGAGGAGAAAGAUGUAUAAAGCUUAAAGUGCUUUGACAUUUGAUAAAUCUUCUAUUUUUGGAUGGAUUGAAGGUUGGGUAAUUUACCAAAAUUCCCCCUUUAACUUUUAAACGAAACUGGUAAAUGUAAUUUUUCCCGAUUUGGGUGGCCACCGUGACGCGCCACAAUCACAGUGGCUUACUGGAAAAAGGACGAGUGGGAAUUGGGUUCCCUCCACAAUGCGCCACCAUCGCGGAGCCCCUAAGUUUGUCAUUUUGACCACUGGUGCGACGCACCAGCAUCAUGGAGUGAUACUGAAAAUUGCCAAAUGGGAAAUUGCGCCUCUCCGCGAUGCGCCAAAAUUGCGAAGUGACACAGAAAAUUGACAAUUAUGAUUUUACGUUUCUCCGCGACGCGCUAAGGACCCAAAUCACAGUGUUUUACGACUAGAAAUUAAAAUAGCUAUAACUUCUUACCCGUUUAUCGGAUUUAGGUGAAUCUUAUAUCUUUGGAUAUCUAAUUCAAUUUCCUAAGUCAUGAAAAGUCAAAAUCUAAAGAAUUUCUCACGAAAUAAACGUCAUUCAUUCUAGAAACAACUCCUUGUCAUUUUUGGUAUAAUUUUAAGCUAGGAAAAAUUGUGGGGUAUUACAAUUUCCCAUGAAAUUGAAGUUAGGGUUUAUACCUAUUAAUUUUAUUUACAAGCUUAUGAAAUUUUCAAUGAUUUAGAAGUUGAAUUACAUGUUAUGUUCAUAUUUUCAUGCAUAUUGCUGAAAUUUCCAGAUUUUGAGUUGAAUUAUCAAUGUUUACAUUAUCAAGCAUACACAUUUUGAUGUUUUAAAAUGAGAAUGAUAUAUGGGUCAUUAUGCCCUUAUUUAAGAUUUCUAUUUAAAGAAUUGUUGUUCAAUAAGUACCCUAUGACUAGAUUCCUUUCAGAUUAUUGAUAAUGAAUUGACCUUUUGGUCUCAGAAUAGAUAUAAAAUCCACUUUACAGAUUUAGAUUAUAGGUUUAGCUUUACAGAUAUAUAGUUGGUUUUUAUUACAAACUAUUAGACUAAUUUAAAGUGGAUUUUCUUCAUAAUGAGCAUAUAGAUUUAAUGGGAGUAGUAUUUAGCACCGAGAUGGGUACGUUACUACGAUUUCAUACCACAGAACUACGUGCCAAUAUAGGAUUUAGAUUAUUUCCACUUUUACGUGGAUGACAGAUAUGUGACCACUUAGAUAGUUUAUACUCCUUGGCAAGAGUAUGACUCCGCUCCCCAACGUGAGGAUUCCUACUUAGGGGGACAAGAACGUUGGACUCCAUUAAUGCUUACAUGGUUUAUGUCGGUUAAGAGAACCUCCCUGCUAGCUAACAGAAAUGAUUAAUAGAAAAAUUUUUAGAUAAAAUAAGUGUAAAGACUCACAAACUUACUCAAAUAUUAUAUUACUUAAGAUUUCAUGUUACAGAAUUACAACUUUUAGUUUCAGACAUAAAAUCGUGAGCCCUUUUUCACUUAGCCUAUAUCAUUUGAGAAUAGAACAGAAAUAUAGAUUUUAGAACUAAGUGUUAUGACUCAAAAGAUUUAUAUUAUGUGAUUUACUGUUCAUGAUUUAUGAUUUUCAAAUUCCAGAUUACUCAAGCCGAUAUGAGUCAUUUACAUUUAGCAUGCAUGAUUUUAUAAAUUAUGAUGAUAUUGCAUACCUAUUGCAUUCACCACCAUAUACUUAAUAAAUCUUCAAAGUAUUGAUCCACAUAUAUGUCUAUGUUCUACAUUGUCUCAUAGUGUAGGUUCAGGUGCUCAGUCUCAGCAGCAUGAGUGAUUUUCGAGCAUCUUAUCUACAUCCCUGCAGUUGGUGAGUCCUUAUAGUUCGAGGACUUAGAUAUUUAGAUUUUUAGUUUAUUAGUAGAUGUUUGAUUAUUCAUUUCAUACAGUUGAGUCAGCUGAGGUAUGUCCCAGUGACUCUUUAGACUCAGUCAGUAGAGGCUUGUCGGACUACUUGAUUUAGUUUUACACUUUUGAUUCAGUAUUUGGAUUUUUUAGAAUUGUUUUACCAAGACCUGUGAGAUUAGUAUGUUUCAGAUAAAAUUUUUGGAUUUAUUAUGUUUUCAUAUUCAUAUUUCCCUUAUGUUAAGAUUUAGAUUAAAUAGGAAAGCAGCUAGGGUUAGCUCAGGACUACUUAUAGUUUGGAGCACCGCGUGGUAUUCCGGAAACUAGAUUUUGGGGCAUUACAAAUAUUGAGCAAAGAGAUGGUCUUCUCUAUGUUAAUGGUACAUUCCCAAUAUAUUGAAGAGGAAAAGGAUAAGGAUAAAGAGAGAGAAUAAAAAGUCUAGAACAGGUAGUUUUAAUUUUGUUCAACCGAGAUUAGAAGGUGGUAAUCGUUCCCAAUUUCUCAAAAAAUCUUUAGUUCUAACUUUAUCCUCAGCUAGUGCACAUGUUCCAAAGUUUAAAAAUAAAAAUUAGGAUAAGGCACCAGGCUCUAAGUCCCUGGGUAGUGUAAACAAUGCCCACACUAGUCCUCUCUGCCAGAAGUGUAGAAAGAAUCAUCAAGGGUGUGCAGUGCUGGUAGUGAUGUGUGUUUUAGAUAUAGAAAGACAGGCCACAGAAUGAAGGAAUGUCGACAGGUAUAUGGAAAGGUAGGAAUGAUAGUCAACAGGGUCAAGCUAAAUCUUUAGCCAGCAUCUGCAGGUCCCCCAACUCAUCAGGGCGCCACUUUGAGUGCCACCUGUAGGUAGCACCCAAACAGAAUUUAUGCACUUUUAGUCCCGACAUGAUCAGGAAAGUUCUUCUGAUGUAGUCACUAGUAUGUUACAGGUCUUUCAUUUAUAUGUAUAUGUUUUAUUGGAUCUUGGAGCUUCUCUUUCUUUUGUAACCCCUUAUAUAGCCAUCAACUUUAAAGUCAGUCCCAAAAUCUUAGUAGAGCGCUUCCUAGUAUCUACUCUAGUAGGUAAGUCUAUCAUAGCCUGAUAGGUAUAUAAGAACUGUCCGGUUAUAGUUUCUCAGAAAGUUACUUCAGUAGACAUUUUAGAGUUAGAAAUGAUGGAUUUUGACAUCAUUCUUGGCAUGGAUUGUCUCUAUUCAUGCUAUGCUUCAGUUGAUUGUAGAAAAAGAGUUGUCCAUUUUCAGUUUCUAAAUGAACAAGUCCUUGAAUGGAGGGGUAGUACUAUAACACUUAGGGGUCAACUUUUUUCAUACCUUUGAGUGAGAAAAAUGAUAUCUAAGGGGUGUAUUUAUAUUUUGGUUUGAGUCAAAGACUCUAAUUCAGAUACUCUUAAUCUCAAGUCAAUUUUAGUAUUGACAUCAUUCUUGGCAUGGAUUGGCUCUAUUCAUGCUAUGCUUCAGUUGAUUAUAGAAACAGAGUUGUCCAUUUUCAGUUUCUAAAUGAACAAGUCCUUGAAUGGAGGUGUAGUACUACAACGCUUAGGGGUCAACUUUUUUCAUACCUUUGAGUGAGAAAAUGAUAUCCAAGGGGUGUAUUUAUCUUUUUUUUUUGAGUCAAAGACUCUAAUUCAGAUACUUUUAAUCUCGAGUCAGUUUUAGUAUUAAGGGAAUUUCUAGAUAUGUUCCCUGAAGACCAUCCUGGAGUCCCUCUCAAAAGGGAAAUCAACUUUGGGAUAGACCUUUUCCCAGAUCCCAGCCCAUCUCUAUUCCGCUGUACAGAAUGGCUCUAACUGAACUUAAAGAACUAAAAGAAUAGUUGAAAGAUCUCAUGGAUAAGGGAUUCAUCAGGCCGAGUGUUUCUCCAUGGAGAACUCCAUUCCUUUUCAUGCAAAAGAAAAAUGGUUCUCUUAGAAUGUGCAUCGAUUACCAUCAGCUGAACAAAGUCACAAUCAAGAAUAAUUACCCACUUCACAGAAUCGAAGACUUAUUCGACCAACUUCAGGGUUCUAGUUAUUUCUACAAGAUAGACCACAGAUCCGGUUAUCAUCAACUCAGAUUUAGAGAAUGUGACAUCCUAAAAAUAGAUUUCAGAACUAGAUAUGGUGACUUCAAAUUUCUCGUCAUGUCUUUUGGUCUUACAAAUGCUGCAGCAGCUUUCAUGGGCUUGAUGAAUAGAGCUUUCAAGCAGUACUUGGACAUGUUCGUCAUAGUCUUCAUAGAUUACAUCUUUUUCUAUUCCCGUAAUGAAGAUGAUCAUGCAGACCACUACAAGAUAGUAUUGCAGACUUUUAGCCCAUCAAUAAUUUACUAAAUUUAAUAAGUAUAAAUUUCGCCAGAGAUCAAUAUCUUUUCUUGGCCAUAUCAUUUUUAGUGAUGGCAUUUGAGCUGACCCUCAAAAGACAGAAGCGGUGAGAAACUAGCCCAGAACUAUUCUUUGUUAGGUAUCAGGAGUUUCUUAGGUUUGGUUGGCUAUUACAGAUGGUUUUUUAAAGGGUUUUUGUCUAUUGCAUUUUCCAUGUCCAAAUUGAGUUAGAAGAAAGUCAAGUUUCAGUGGUUAGAUUCUUGUGAGAAGAGUUUUCAGGAGCUAAAGACUCGACUCACCACAACCCCAGUUUUGACGCUACCAGAGGGUUCAGAUGGGUUUAUAGUGUACUGUGAUGCCUCUAGAUUUUGUUUGGGUUGUAUUUGGUACAAAAAGGUAAGGUCAUAGCCUAUUCCUCUAGACAACUUAAACCUCAUGAAAAUAACUAACCUACCCAUGAUCUUGAACUAGCAGCUGUUGUGUUUACCUUAAUAAUUUGGAGGCAUUAUCUGUAUGGGGUGCACUUUGAUGUGUUCACAGACCAAAAAACCUUGCAGUAUGUGUUUUCACAGAAGGAUUUGAAUCUUCAUCAUAGAAGAUGGUUAGAAUUGUUGAAAGAUUAUGACAAGAGUUAUCUGUAUUAUCCAGCCAAGGCCAAUGUGGUGGCAUAUGCCAUCAACAGGUUGUCUAUGGGUAGUGUCGCUCAUGUUGAGAUUGAUAAAAAAGAACUAGGUAGGGAAGUCCAUUAGCUUUCCAGAUUAGGUGUUCGUUUGGUUGAUUCAGCUGAGGGUAAUGUUUCGGUACUACAUAGUUUGGAAUCUUCCUUGGUUGCUGAAGUGAAAGAAAAACAAGAUAAGGAUCCCAAUCUAGUUAAUUUGAAAGAGCCAAUCAGAGUCUAAAAAGUAGAGGUAUUCUCCCAAAGAGGAGAUGGUGCGUUGCAUUGCUAGGGUAGACUAUGUAUGCCAUGUGUAGAUGAUUCGAGACAGCAAAUUCUUGCAGAAUCAUAUGGUUCACAUUACUCUAUUCAUCCAGGGGCCACGAAGAUGUACCGCGAUCUGCACAAAAUCUAUUUAUGGAGUGGUAUGAAGAGGGAUAUUGCAGUGUUUGUGGAAAAGUUCUCCACGUGUUAACAAGUUAAUAUUGAACAUCAAAAGCCUAGUGGAUCUAUGUAGGAGUUCAGUAUUCCCACUUAGAAGUGGGGGGAAGUGAACAUCGAUUUUAUGACAGGUUUGCCUCGUACUCAUUCUCAGCAUGAUUCAAUUUGGGUCAUUGUCGAUAGAAUGACCAAAUCAGCCUAUUUCUUACUAGUCCUUACUUCUUAUUCAGCCGAGGACUAUGCCAAGCUCUAUAUUAGGGAGUUGGUUAGGUUGCACAGUGUUUCUCUAUGUAUUAUCUUAGAUAGAGGUACUCAUUUUACCUCUCACUUUUGGAAAACUUUUUAGAAUGGCCUUGGUACCCAAUUUUACCUCAAUACAGCCUUUCACCCUCAGGCAGAUGGUCAGGCAAAGAGGACCAUUCAGACCCUUGAGGAUAUAUUGAGAGCGUGUGUAGUUGAUUUAAGGGUAGUUGAGAUGAUCACUUGCCUUUGAUUGAGUUUGCGUAUAAUAACAGCUAUCAUUCCAGUAUUAAGAUGGCUCCGUUUAAGGUUCUAUAUGGGAGGAGAUGUAAAUAUCCAAUUGGUUGGUUUGAGCUAGGUAAGAUAGCUUUGGAAGGGCUUGAUUCGGUGUUUGGUGCUUUAGAGAAAGUUCAGUUGAUCUGGGAGAGGCUUAGGGCAACCCAAAACUAAUAGAAAUCAUAUGCAGAUAUGAGGAAAAAGUAUCUUAAGUUUGAGAUUGGUGAUUUUGUAUAUCUACAGAUCUCUCCCAUGAAAGGGGUAAAGAGGUUUGGUAAGAAGGGGAAGCUUAGCCCCCAAAAUAUUGUCCCUUACAGAAUUAUGAGCUGUUUUGGAAAGGUGGCUUAGGAGCUUGAUUUUCCUGCAGACUUAGCAUUAGUGCACCCAGUAUUCCAUAUAUCUUUGUUAAAGAAGAGUAUUGAUGACCCAACUGUAGUUGUCCCUUUAGAAAGCGUAGAUGUUCAAAAUAGCCUUUCUUAAGAAGAAGUUCCAAUCAAGAUCGUUGAUCAUCAUAUUCGUAGACUAAGGAAAAAAAUAAGUUCCCAUGGUGAAAGUUCAUUGGCAAAAUCAGUCUGUUUAGGGAGCCACUUGGAAAGGAAAAGCUGAUAUGCUAACUAACUACCCUCAUCUUUUCUCCGCAAACUCAGGCUCAGUUUAAGGUAACAACUUUUUUUCCCACUCUCUGUUCCAGCUAUAUUUUCUUCAUGUUAUUCCAUGCAUUCACAAGCCUGUUUAGGCAUGUGUCAUGUUUUAGACUCAAUUAUGUAAUCAGGUUUUCAGUGUGUAAAUUCAAAAUAUAAUCUCAAUUCCUCAAUUUUCUUAACUUAACCAACUUCAUUCGAGGACGAAUGUUCCCAAGGGGGACAAAAUAUAACAACUCCCAUUUUCGGUGAGUAACGACUUGGUGUGAUAGGUCAUCACUUGGUUGAUGAAUUAUCAACCAAGGUCGUCACCUUUAAAAUUCAGCAAUUCCCAUUCAAAUUUGGAGGGGUAUUUUGGUCGAUUCCCUCACCUUUCAUGACUUAGAUCAUCAAAAAUAUGUACUUAGCCAUCAUAAAAAAGUUUUAAAACUACUCUUAAUCCUAUCCACUCUCAAGAGAAAGAAAAUUAGGGUUUCCUUUAAAGAUCAUAUCCCAAAAACAAGAUUCAAGCUCUUCUUCAAGAAAAUGAAGAAAUUAUAAUUCCCAAUUCAAGAACGUUCAAGAAAAGUCAAUUCUCUUUCAAGAUCAAAGCCUUAAGGUAUGUUGGAUGUUAAUUCAUGGGUACUUUUAACCCAUGGAGUCCAAGAACCCAAUUUCAAAUUCAAAUUUAUGAUUUUACAUGAUUAUUAUGAUUUUUAACCAUGAAUUCCCAUGAAUUUCAAUUCUAUACCAUGCUUACACGUAAUUGUUGUUGUUAUUAAACCCUAAAUGUCUAAAUGGUUUUAUUCAUUGAAUUUAUCCUUAAUUGGUGAUUUUAUUAUUGAAAUCAUGUUAUUACUACAAGCUUUAAAACUAAACCCAUGCUUAGCUCAAACCAUGCAUUGCAAGUGUUCGAUGAAAUGCCUACAAGAAUGAGUUUUGAAUAAAUGCUUGUAUAUCAUGUCGUCAAAGAUUUAGUAUGAUCUAGCUAUUAUUGUUAUCGAGUCCUGGGGGUCUAAAUACCCAAAAUUUAGCUUCUUACCUAGUUUUCAGUAUCAACAGAAUGGUUUCAAGAUAGUUAUGAGCAUUAUCAGUUCAAAUAUUUAUUACAUUCAGUUAAACUUAGUUCAGUCUAAUAAUCAGUGUCAUUCAGCUGGUAGUAACACUUAGCACCGAGUGAUCGCAGGGAUGGUGUCUCCCCCGUCAGUUAGCUAUAAGGCACUAGUAUCAGUACCUAGGUUCCAGACCUACAACGCCAUCAUAGAUUUUGAGGAGUCCCCCGUCAGUUAGCCAUGACACCGUCGUCUUUUGGGACUUUAGAUUAUUGGAUCCACACAGCCACUGUUAGUACCCAUAGAAUGGUACUAACACCCUUCCAACUGGUAUUACAGGUUGGACCCUAAUAACAAAUUAGGGUAUGUCAGUUAUAGCUAGCUCCCACAGUCUCAGUCCAGAAUACAACUUAGUAAUUCAUUUUUAGUUUUGCUUGAACAUAGAAUACAUAUAUCAGGUACACAUUUACCAGUACUUAGUAUUUUAGUUUACAGACUAAAUUUAAUGUAUGUUUCAUUCUUGUUCAUGCAUUCUCAGUCUUUACAAAUUUCAUGCAUUUUACUCAAUACUUUAUGCUAUACAUACAGUCAGUUUCUAUGCAUGCAUAUGACACUUUGUAUAUUAGCCUAAUCUCAUUCAGCAUACCAGUACAUUGAAAGUACUGACCGCAUACUUAUUUUUUUAUGCUAUGAUGUCUCAUAUCAUAGGUUCGGACGCUCAGGUUCCGACCACACCUAGACCUCGCAGCGCAUCAGCAGUAGUAGCAGUGGUGAGUCCUCAUGUUCCGAUGACCGUCUGUGUUUAUUUAACUUCAGUUCAACAGUUAGUUGGAGUUAGUUGGGGACUUCUCCCAUAUACUCAAAAGUCAGUUAGUUAGAGGGUUUCAGACACUUUCAGUUGGUUAUUCAGUUAUCAGUUGUUAUUGAUGGUCUUACAGUAUUGUUUUCAGACAGGGGUUUUCGGUAUUUUGAUUUAGUAUUGUCCUCAUAGUUAAAAACUUAUGGAGUAUUUAGUUAAAUUCCAAACAUGUUUCUCUAUUAUUUUAUUCAGUGCUCAUAGAAGGUACCAGCAUGGGUUAGGUUGCGGGUCCUUCGGGGUUGUAGGCACCGUGUGGUGCCAGGGUAUACUCUCGGGGCAUUACAAUUAAUCUUCAUUGAUGGUAGAAAUAAACUCUAUCAAAAAUGGUGAAAACGUUAAAGCUGGCUCGGAAAUAAUGGUAAAUAAAAUAAAUGAAGUGGUUGGUUUACUAUUUUCUCUACACAAAAAGACUGUAUAAUAGACAACAUUUUCACUUAAUAUUUUAGAUUAUGAAAUCUACUAAAAAAUCUAAAAUUUUACUUAUUAAGUUUUACCUUAUUUGAAUUAUAUCUUAAAAUUUAGGACCUUAAAUCAAUCAAUACUCUUGUAUAAGCCAACUAAUUCAUAUCCACAAAGCUUCAAUGUUUUCUUUUCAAAAAAGAAUUUCAGACAUGUUUCAAAUCUUCUAGAAUUGAUAAGAUAUUUAUAAUUUCACAUAUAUGUUUAUAUAAAUGCCAAACUUCGACAAGCUUUACCACUUUUUUCUCCAG
rnacentral:lncRNA from 1 species